rnacentral:rRNA from 1 species
GACGAACGCUGGCGGCGUGCUUAACACAUGCAAGUCGAGCGGUAAGGCCCUUUCGGGGGUACACGAGCGGCGAACGGGUGAGUAACACGUGGGUGACCUGCCCUCAGCUCUGGGAUAAGCCUGGGAAACUGGGUCUAAUACCGGAUAUGACUCCAUGACGCAUGUUGGUGGGGUGGAAAGCCUUGUGCGGCUGAGGAUGGGCCCGCGGCCUAUCAGCUUGUUGGUGGGGGAUGGCCUACCAAGGCGACGACGGGUAGCCGGCCUGAGAGGGCGACCGGCCACACUGGGACUGAGACACGGCCCAGACUCCUACGGGAGGCAGCAGUGGGGAAUCUUGCGCAAUGGGCGAAAGCCUGACGCAGCGACGCCGCGUGAGGGAUGACGGCCU